AUUUACUGAAAUGUUACCUAUGAUUGACGUACAAACGUUAUUUGCAAUUCACCACUACUACGUAAACUAUAGAUUAGGUAAAAUUGCCUCAGUUUUAGUUUAAAAACGCACUGAAAUGGAUCACAAGAUUUUCAGUUUAGGCUAAACUCACUUUACAAAAUGUGGACACUUAAACCAAUCUGUGUAUUGAUAAUAUUUUUUGUGGGUCUUACAGUGUCCAUCAAAGUAAGAUGCAACCAUCCCGAGACUAUUCGAGAGGAUCACAUACAUUAUUGCUGCAAACAUCCUGAUGGACAUAAUGACAUUAUUGAAAUGUGCGC